UCACGCUGAGGGGACAGAGGCCAGCGGCGCCGUCGCGUUCCUUUGAAAUUGCAAGGAACUUCGCCAAUAUGGAGUUGCGAAAGGGAUUUUUCAGCUAUAUAGUUAUAGUUUUCAGCUAUAAAGUGUUGAGAUACUGGAACUUUCUAAAGCUGAUGAUGAUGGAGAUGUUGUUCAAUGACAGACGAAGUUACAGGUUCGGCACUGAAAACUGCACGUACUUAAGGAGUUUUUGUUUCAGUGGGGGAAAAAAGUUUGUAAAUUGCAAAAGCAAAGUAUAUAACUACAUCAAUUACAUUAGUGUAGAAGUAUAUACGGGCUCAUUGUUGUAUUGGUGCCUGAAAUGGGGUACCCUAACUUUGGUCAUACGCACUCAAUAGUAUUUCUUUGGUGACUGGAAUUUUUAAUCUUAAAAAAACCACUCGCUUCUGAAUUAUGUGGUUUUACUUACAAAUGAUGAAUAAAUAUGAGUAAUUCUGUAAUAUGAGUAUUAUCAGUAAUUCUGAUAAUACUGCAGAAGGUCCCUGGCUUGGUGCCUAAUGAACAUACUAAGGGUGAUAAAAGUGGCAAAAAGCUGGUUAUUUUUCCUAUUUCUGAGGUAAAACCUUUGAACAACGUGAAUAAUCCAUCUUAAACUCCUUAUCUGCAUGAUCAUAUCUACAUUCUUUCUCUUAAUAGUUACAAAGAAUAGUCUAACUUGUUAUUUCAAGUAGACAAUUGCUUUAUCUAGUGUGUGUUAUUAUGGAGUAAAGGGUUAAAUCUCACAGAUUUGGGUCUGUACUAUACAGAGAAUACCAUUACUUUUAUUUCUUUUCUCCAGAAUUAAGAACAGCAAACUCCUUUUUAUUUUCUGCUUCACUCUUCAUUGGGACAUUUCUUUCAUGUCUUGAAGCCUCGUAAUCUUUUUUGCUUCAAUGUGAUAAACCAACAUUAUAAAGAAGAGCAAGGAAAAUAAUUUAUGUUUCUCAUAUUUUUAUAUAAAAUAUACAUGAGCAGACUACACCUACCAGGCCUAGAUUUAAUAUUAGUAUUGCCCACAUGAUGUUUUUUUAUAUCAGUAAUUACUAUUGCAGUUUGCUUAACCAGCAAACUGGGGGAAAUGUGAACAUUUUCAUGAACAGUUAAUGUUUGCUUUCCCUUUAAAGUUUAACACUUCAAAUUUUAAACAGGCCAACAAGUUUGUCUAAACUCACUGGUCACAAAUCUAUUUCAAAGUAACUUUAAAAAACUCCUUCUCUUUUCUUUCCUAUGAAUUCUUCUUAUUAUGUGCUAGAGGAAAGCAUAUGUGUGCAUAUACCUAUGUGUAUGCCUGCUUAAAAAAUAAACAAACAAGAAGAGAUUAAAUAUUGGCUAAGAAAAUAUGCAAACCCCAAACCAAAACCCAGGAGAGAGGGGGUGGCAACACCAGUGGCAUCUAUUGCAAACAGAGUUGGCACUUCAGUUUAACUAAAACCAAGUAACUGCAUUUCAUAAGAAAGGUCACAUGCAAAGCUCAGUGUGACACAAGUACUUUUGUCUCUCAUCUUGCUCUAAUUUUGUCUUUUCAGGAAAAAAAGCAGUGAAUGCUUUUUGGUUUGAAUACCACAGUACCUCGGGAACCUUUUGCACUCAUCCUUCUGCUGUCAUGCCUGGUGUAAACAUCAGGGCACAGAAAAAGCAUGGAAAGAGCAACAAAGAAUAACAACAUGCCAGAGGAUUGAGGGGUAGGUAUGGCAACUACAGACAGAAGUAGGUUGCUAUUCUGUUUUAGAAAAAAACCAGAGAUCUAUGAAUAGAAACAACAAAUUCAUGUCCAUUUUAAUGCAAUAAAUUUAAUUCUCUCUGUGCUAAUGCCCAACUCACAUCCAGGGCAAUUUUAUAUCUCCAGCUGGCAAUUACACAGCCACGAAGUUCAUGCUGUGAAAGGUCAGCCAACCUCUGGGUGACAUGCUGAGGUGUUGGACACCGUCUGUGGUGAGCAGAGGAGAUGGAAUAAGAGAUAGGUAAUGAUAAACUGAGGAUCUCUGUAUCUGUAAGAUAGGUCUGGACACAUUUUGCAGCUGUGAUGGUAAGUUUAUCACUGAGUGACUUGCAUUGUACGUAGCCUUUUUAAUUUUGUGUUUUCAGUCAUCAGAUCUAAUAGAAAACAUGGAAAACACUGAAAUAUGUCUUCAGAAGAGGUGGGCUUUAAGAGAUCACUGAGGGAACAACAAGGGCUGGAAAGAGAGAUGCAAUCUACUCCCUGAGAUCAGUGAAGGAACAAAAAAGGGGGGGCUUUUGGGGAAAAACCACCAGCAACAAACACAGCAGCCAGUGGAAUGGCAGCAAACCAGAUGGAUUUGUGGUAACCACAGCAAAUACGGAUUCUGGGAAACAAGGAAAGGCAAACAAGUGGAUUUGUGAGGUACUGAGAGAAGAAAUGUCUUUGAAACCAAUAGGAGGUAGAAAUUCUCCAGACUUGAUUUACUCACCAAGGCACAGCUAAGUGCUUUGAGUCAGGCAGCCAAUAGUGUUUAGGUGUCUUGAGAAAUACUGGAUUGAUCCCUUUCUAUUUCAGUGAGUGGGAAAAGAUGGGAUGCCCUGCAUACAGAGGGACAUCAAAGGCUCUUACCAGGUGACAAUGGUGGCAGGCACACGUGGCAUUUGUGCGCCAGAGCAUCAGCAAGCGCUCCACAUGGGUAGUAAUCUACUCUGCUGACUGGAUGGGUCAGCUUCCCAUGGAAUUGCUGCAAAUUCCCAGUGUAGAGACAGCCUCUGAGAUCUCAUUAAAACAGCAUUUUCUAGGAGUUUAUAAUCCAAAUAUAAUUCUAAAUGUUUUCUCUUUCACUUUUUUUUUGGUCCUGAAAUACGCACACACAUACACUUUUAUAUAUUUAAAUUGAUUCAUUUUCAAUGUCUCUAGCUGAUAAAUAGAUGCUAAACAUAACUGAUUUUUUAAAGGUAAUUUCAAUGAAUUAUGAAAUAAAGGCAGUUUAAGAAAUCUGCUUUAUUCUAGAAGAUGGAUGAAGCUGUCUCUUGAGGUGCCCCAUUUAAGAGCAGUAUCAGCCAUUGAGGUUUGUCCCUUGAGACAGUGCCAAAUAGAGCCCAGGGAAUAAUUAAUUCUAGGGCACCAGCACACUAAUUAGUAUUGCUGGAAUUGAUAGGAGUUUCAGUACCUUUGAAAAUCUGUUUUUAUUUUGAUGUGAAUAUUUUAGCCUUUUUUUUUUUGCUUGAAGUAGCUGCCAUUCUUAGUCUGUUUUCCAUCAUAAUAGGAGACAUCUAAGGAUGGAAAAGCGGCAAAAAGUAAACCACCUGCUUAAACAUCUUCAUUCUGACAACAUGAAAGGCUACAAAAAAUCCUGGGGUUAGUGGGAUAUUAGAUAAAUAUAAAAUAACUCUUCCAGCUUGGACUAAUCAAUCCAGCCCAGUGCCUGCCAUCUGGCCAGGAGUUUGCUAGUGCCCCUUGCCCCAGCUGUCAGCAUUUGAGUUGCUUGUUCCUGUCAUUGCCUAAAAGGAAUUAGUUCCAGAUCAUUAUGGAUUGCAAAGAUGGUCAUUGUUUUGUUUAACAUUUACACAACUGCCAGAGACCUGCUUCUGAAUUAAAGUCCUGGACAAGCCCUUGGCUGUUUUGACUGCAGGUAGGUGCAUGGAAAACAAAUGGUGGAUUUUUUCCUUCUCUUCUGUACAUUUGACCUCAUUUUUCUGUUUACAGAAAAUUGAUUGCCUCAAAUAGGUAAGUUGGAAUUAUGGAAGCUCAAAAUUUAAAAAAAAAAAACCAACAACACAAAAUAAUUCCAUAAUUACAGUGUCUUUAGUUAAACAUUAAAUCCAUUUUAACGCAUCCUAAAGACUGACAGCUUUUUAUGUGUUUGAAGAGAUGCGUUUCUAAAAUGUUCAUCUUCUUUACAAAAGUGGCUAAAAUAAUUAUUUUGACCUAUCAUGGAAACUGUAACAAAUUAUUAGUGUGUUUUGGGUUUCUUUUUUCCCUGGACGUUGAUGCUAAGCUGCCAGGUUAAUUGACAUGUUUCUUUCCUAAUUGCUACCUGCACCCUGGCUGGACGUUUCCAAGAUAUUUAAAAGAGGUUUACAAGCCCUUUACACUGCCAAGAAACUUAUGAUGUAGGAAUAAAAAUGAAAUGCAGAUCAUAACUUCCAAACCACCAAACUCAUAAACUCUCCUGCACAGAUCUGCAGGGAUCUAUCAGCAUUCCUACCCAGCUUUGGUUGCAUUUCCUAUUUUCCUUGGAUUGUGGGCAGUGGUUGAACAGCACAAUUGGGUCUUGACCUGUAACGUGGACUUCCAAACAAUUUUAAGAGCAAUACACAUUUUUCACUUUGUUUUUUCAACACUUUUGGUCUAAAAAUAUUUGACAAUUUUUUACAGCUACAAGAAAGAGCACUGCAUUGUAUAAAGUAUGGACAUUUGGCCUAGUUUUGAUCACCAGAUACUUGUGACUCCCCCAGGGUAAAAAUAACUAAUUUUCAGUAGUCCUCCGGUUAUCAUAUUUUUUGAGAAGGUAAUUUUUUUUUUCCUUUUCUUUUUCUGUUAGUAUGGUAGAGAGGUUCUUUACUUGUUUUUAGAAUGUACUAAUCCCUCUUCUGUUUGGUAUUUUUAUCCAUACAUAAUCCUGAAACUGAAAAUAGUUUUCAAGAUAUGGAAGGCUGAGAUAUUUUGAUUUUCUGCCUGCAUGACAGAUUCCUGAGGCUUUUCAGUCUUAUUCCACAGUGAUGAUUUCCUCCUUUCCUUCCUUACCACUCUUAGGUAUAUCCCAAGCAAUAUUUUUUAUCCUGUUGUACUUGAGAAUUAUUUUUGAGUAUUCCUCUCUGGACUGGAUGCAGACCUGGAUCUAUCUCCCUCUAUUUUGAUACUUUUGAACAGGGAGGUUUUGCUGUGAUACAUAAUGACUUAUCCUACAAUAUCCACCCUGCAUUCUUCAUUUAAUUUAAUCCUUUUGCCCAAUUCUGAUACAUUCUGACUCACCAUUUUAUUGAGUGCUGAUGGCUUCUGGCACCAGCCCUAGUUUUAUUGAAUCAUCCAGACUGUUCCUAUACUUUUUGGGGAUCGGUUUUUGGCUGUGCAAUGCACAGAACACUACAGAGCACUGUGACACUUCCAUCACAGGUGAUGUGUUCCAGGAAUUCCUUCUCAGUGACGCAGGCAAGGGAAAAAAAAGGGAGUUGGUCAUCUCCCCAUUGCUUCCAGCAUGUGUUUCAUCCUGACUGGCCAUAACAAAUUGGUCUGUGUCAGCCAUCUCCUUGUUGGAAAAAUAUUCCUGGGUUAUAUGAUAACAAGCAGCCCUGUGUCAUAACUGGAGUUAGGGAUCUGAGGAGGUGGAUGGCGUUAUGUUUAUUCAGGCUGCACGUUGACAAGGUGGUUCCUGAGCCAACAGUGCUAAUUAACAACAUGUGCCUGUACUGAGCUGAUAAUUAGGUUUGAAACCUUAGUAGGGGAUUUGCUUCCAUAAUGGGUUUUUUUCCCCAGGAUUUUACUUUUUGAGGUUGGAAUUACAUGUGCUCUUCUGCUAUAGCAUAACUGUGGUGGGAUACACAUUCUGCAUCUUCACAGGAUGGGUGAGAUGGCAAAAGAUUAUUCAUUCACAUAAAAACUGGGAAGGAACAUGCUGGAAAAGUGUGACCAGUGCAUUAUGGAAGGUGCUUUCUGACCAACAUAUUCACUUAGAAAUUUUCCAUUACAACACUCACUUGGCAAUAAAUGUCCAGCUACAAAUUCCUGCUCUCAACAUGCUGAGAUUAAAUCUUCUCACUGAAAAAGGUUUCUAAAAUUUUUCAUAAGGGUAAUAUAAUUUAGUAGUGAAUACUAGAAUAGAGUUACUAUUAUGCAGAAUAAAAAGAUUUCUUUGAAACUCUUUUACAGAUUCUUUAAGAAAGAAACAAAGAUAUUUCCUCUAUCUCAAACUUUCCUGUUUUAGUGUCCUACUAGUGGUACAACGCCUGAGUUUCUGGCUUGUUUUUCUUUUAAAAAAAGCCAAUAUUAAUUGUCAUGCUGGGUAAGUUAUAUCACACUUUUCACAUAGGACUUACAAAUUUUAGAUAUAACUAUUAGAAUUUCAGCCUAAUUUUGGGCAGCCACUCACUUAUUUACUAAAUUAGAUUUAUAUGCUAUUGGUUCUGAGGUUAUGAAAUAUACCUCAAACUGGAACAUUAAUAGCAUUCUAGUGUAAGUUUUUUUGCAGGUAGGCAAGGUUUUCUGGUGUUUAGUGGUAAAGGUGAAAAAACUCUUGAGUUCCCCAGAGAAAUCAGAGUUAAGAAGAUUAGGGGUCAUAAAAUAAAAAGCUAAGAAGUUUUUAGCAAAAAAGAGAAUUCUGCAGUUAAAGGUAUUUUGUUGUGGGUUUCCCCCUUAUUCUCACAUUUGGCUUUUUUAGGAAUUAUUUUGUUGCUGGAAACACUGAUUCAUUGUAGUUUGUUUUUUUCCCCACAAACAUGUUUGAACUUUACAGGAUGUACCCCAAUUCAAAGGCACCCGAAGCCUUACCAAAUUUUUGAUCUGUCCUCAGUUGGGGCAGGGUAAAAAUAAAAACAGUGACAAAGUUUCACAACCACACUGCACUUCCCUUAGUGGAAAAAUCUCUGCAAGAGUGCUGAGUCCGUCUGGCCAGUGAAGAGAAAGGGCUCCCCCUUCCAAAGGCUUUAGGCUAAGGAUGAGGAAAGAAAGCAGAUUUCUAUUUUGAGUUUCAUAAAUAGAAAGUCGGCAGCUUUGCUACCACACAGUCGGGAUGUUACUCUGGACAUCCCGCGCUCUUCGUGUGCGAGGUGCUGCACAUGCUGGUCCCUCUGUGAGGCAAGGACCUUGUGACAGUGUCACACCGCGGGGACAGGAUCACCUGUGCCACGUAGGCAGCUCUUCGUCAGAGCUCACACACAUCCCCAUCCCACGAGGAGUGUCAGACAGCCCUCGUCCACACGGCUGUACCUUCAUUUUCCCCCUCAGCACCCCGCAUUUCGCUCCCUUUGGAGCUCCCACGCGUCUGAGGGACAGCCCGCAGCAGUUUAAAUGCGGCGCUGUUGCGGCCUCAAGAGGGAGGCAGCGGGUUCCGUGACACGGCAAAGCUGCCAAUCCUAUCGAGCUCAGGAUUCCUCGGGAAAAUAAAGGGGAAGCAGAAUUUAGACACAGCCGGUGUAGAUUAUGAUGGAGUAGUAGCUAGGAAGCUGUUGCUACACUUUCAGUACCACAACAAAC